rnacentral:rRNA from 1 species
GGGGGCCCGCACAAGCGGUGGAGCAUGUGGUUUAAUUCGACGCAACGCGAAGAACCUUACCUGGCCUUGACAUGCAGAGAACUUUCCAGAGAUGGAUUGGUGCCUUCGGGAACUCUGACACAGGUGCUGCAUGGCCGUCGUCAGCUCGUGUCGUGAGAUGUUGGGUUAAGUCCCGUAACGAGCGCAACCCCUAUCCCUAGUUGCUAGCAGGUUAUGCUGAGAACUCUAGGGAGACUGCCGGUGACAAACCGGAGGAAGGUGGGGAUGACGUCAGGUCAUCAUGGCCCUUACGGCCAGGGCUACACACGUGCUACAAUGGUGCGUACAGAGGGUUGCAAACCCGCGAGGGGGAGCUAAUCUCACAAAACGCAUCGUAGUCCGGAUCGGAGUCUGCAACUCGACUCCGUGAAGUCGGAAUCGCUAGUAAUCGUGAAUCAGAAUGUCACGGUGAAUACGUUCCCGGGCCUUGUACACACCGCCCGUCACACCAUGGGAGUAGA